rnacentral:rRNA from 1 species
UUCACGUUUUGCAUAUUCGUGCUCUUGGGUGUACUUGCCCGUGUGGUUGGUUAACAUCAAUUUUGGACGCCAUAAAAUGACUGGAGGAAUGUAGCUUCGAUCUCGUAUUGAAGUGUUAUAGCCUUCGGUAGAUGUGGUUUUCGAGAUUGAGGAUUGCAACGGAUACCCUUCGGGGCUACCUAUCUGAUCUCUGAUCGUUGCUCUGGUGCCGAAAGCUUGCUUACGGUUAUCAAAGUCGAUGGUCAAUAUGUUAGAAUGGGUUAAA